UAAUGAAGACACAAAAGGGAGCACCGGCCAUAACCGGUACUCCCUUGACAAGACCGUUGAAGACGGUCGACAUUCGUUUAAGCAAUCAAUUA
rnacentral:sRNA from 1 species